rnacentral:rRNA from 1 species
GACGGAGGAUGCAAGCGUUAUCCGGAAUGAUUGGGCGUAAAGCGUCUGCAGGUGGCAGUUCAAGUCUGCUGUCAAAGACUGGGGCUUAACCCUGGAAAGGCGGUGGAAACUGAAGCGCUAGAGUGCGGUAGGGGUAGAGGGAAUUCCCGGUGUAGCGGUGAAAUGCGUAGAGAUCGGGAAGAACAUCGGUGGCGAAAGCGCUCUACUGGACCGCAACUGACACUCAGGGACGAAAGCUAGGGGAGCGAAUGGG